CGGUGGAAACGCCGUCUAAUACCGGAUACGACCCGCCACCUCAUGGUGGAGGGUGGAAAGUUUUAUCGGUCAGGGAUGGGCUCGCGGCCUAUCAGCUUGUUGGUGGGGUAACGGCCUACCAAGGCGAUUACGGGUAGCCGGCCUGAGAGGGCGACCGGCCACACUGGGACUGAGACACGGCCCAGACUCCUGCGGGAGGCAGCAGUGGGGAAUAUUGCACAAUGGGCGAAAGCCUGAUGCAGCGACGCCGCGUGGGGGAUGACGGCCUUCGGGUUGUAAACCUCUUUUACCACCAACGCAGGCUCCACGUUCUCGUGGGGUUGACGGUAGGUGGGGAAUAAGGACCGGCUAACUACGUGCCAGCAGCCGCGGUAAUACGUAGGGUCCGAGCGUUGUCCGGAAUUAUUGGGCGUAAAGAGCUCGUAGGCGGCAUGUCGCGUCUGCUGUGAAAGACCGGGGGCUUAACUCCGGGUUCUGCAGUGGAUACGGGCAUGCUAGAGGUAGGUAGGGGAAACUGGAAUUCCUGGUGUAGCCGGUGAAAUGCGCAGAUAUCAGGAGGAACACCGGUGGCGAAGGCGGGUUUCUGGGCCUUACCUGACGCUGAGGAGCGAAAGCAUGGGGAGCGAACAGGAUUAGAUACCCUGGUAGUCCAUGCCGUAAACGUUGGGCGCUAGGUGUGGGGACUUUCCACGGUUUCCGCGCCGUAGCUAACGCAUUAAGCGCCCCGCCUGGGGAGUACGGCCGCAAGGCUAAAACUCAAAGGAAUUGACGGGGGCCCGCACAAGCGGCGGAGCAUGUUGCUUAAUUCGACGCAACGCGAAGAACCUUACCAAGGUUUGACAUCACCCGUGGACCUGUAGAGAUACAGGGUCAUUUAGUUGGUGGGUGACAGGUGGUGCAUGGCUGUCGUCAGCUCGUGUCGUGAGAUGUUGGGUUAAGUCCCGCAACGAGCGCAACCCUUGUUCCAUGUUGCCAGCACGUAAUGGUGGGGACUCAUGGGAGACUGCCGGGGUCAACUCGGAGGAAGGUGGGGACGACGUCAAGUCAUCAUGCCCCUUAUGUCUUGGGCUGCAAACAUGCUACAAUGGCCGGUACAAUGGGCGUGCGAUACCGUAAGGUGGAGCGAAUCCCUUAAAGCCGGUCUCAGUUCGGAUUGGGGUCUGCAACUUCACCCCAUGAAGGUGGAGU
rnacentral:rRNA from 1 species